GAUGAACGCUGGCGGCGUGCCUAAUACAUGCAAGUCGAGCGAAUGGAUUAAGAGCUUGCUCUUAUGAAGUUAGCGGCGGACGGGUGAGUAACACGUGGGUAACCUGCCCAUAAGACUGGGAUAACUCCGGGAAACCGGGGCUAAUACCGGAUAACAUUUUGAACCGCAUGGUUCGAAAUUGAAAGGCGGCUUCGGCUGUCACUUAUGGAUGGACCCGCGCCGCAUUGCUAGUUGGCGAGGUAACGGCUCACCAAGGCAACGAUGCGUAGCCGACCUGAGAGGGUGAUCGGCCACACUGGGACUGAGACACGGCCCAGACUCCUACGGGAGGCAGCAGUAGGGAAUCUUCCGCAAUGGACGAAAGUCUGACGGAGCAACGCCGCGUGAGUGAUGAAGGCUUUCGGGUCGUAAAACUCUGUUGUUAGGGAAGAACAAGUGCUAGUUGAAUAAGCUGGCACCUUGACGGUACCUAACCAGAAAGCCACGGCUAACUACGUGCCAGCCGCCGCCGUAA
rnacentral:rRNA from 1 species